rnacentral:rRNA from 1 species
GUGGGGAAUUUUGCGCAAUGGGGGAAACCCUGACGCAGCGACGCCGCGUGAAGGACGAAGGCCUUCGGGUUGUAAACUUCUUUUGCAGGGGAAGAUAAUGACGGUACCCUGCGAAUAAGCCACGGCUAACUCUGUGCCAGCAGCCGCGGUAAGACAGAGGUGGCAAGCGUUGUUCGGAAUUACUGGGCUUAAAGGGCGCGUAGGCGGUGAUGCAAGUCGGUGGUGGAAGCCCACGGCUCAACCGUGGAAUUGCCAACGAAACUGCAUCACUUGAGUCAGUGAGGGGAGGGCGGAAUUCCUGGUGUAGCAGUGAAAUGCGUAGAUAUCAGGAGGAAGGCCGGUGGCGAAGGCGGCCCUCUGGCACUAGACUGACGCUGAGGCGCGAAAGCGUGGGGAGCAAACAGGAUUAGAUACCCGGGUAGUCC